GAUGAACGCUGGCGGCGUGCCUAACACAUGCAAGUCGAGCGAUUUACUUCGGUAAAGAGCGGCGGACGGGUGAGUAACGCGUGGGUAACCUGCCUCAUACACAUGGAUAACAUACCGAAAGGUAUGCUAAUACAAGAUGAUAUAAGAGAUUCGCAUGGAUUUCUUAUCAAAGCUCCGGCGGUAUGAGAUGGACCCGCGUCUGAUUAGCUAGUUGGUAAGGUGACGGCUUACCAAGGCGACGACCAGUAGCCGACCUGAGAGGGUGAUCGGCCACAUUGGAACUGAGACACGGUCCAAACUCCUACGGGAGGCAGCAGUGGGGGAUAUUGCACAAUGGGCGAAAGCCUGAUGCAGCAACGCCGCGUGAGCGAUGAAGGCCUUCGGGUCGUAAAGCUCUGUCCUCAAGGAAGAUAAUGACGGUACUUGAGGAGGAAGCCCCGGCUAACUACGUGCCAGCAGCCGCAGUAA
rnacentral:rRNA from 1 species